rnacentral:tRNA from 1 species
UCCGGGCUCUGCGAGAUGACCUUGCCGACCUUGGUGGGGUCGGGGGUCUCCUGCUCGGUCCGGGAGACCUGGAA